UAAUGCAUUGGAGCCCCGGUGGCGAAGUGCGUUAAAGCACUGAGCUGGACACCGAAAGGUCCCAGGUUCAAACCCCGGGAGCGGCGGGAGCGGCCGCUGUUAACUCCAGCUUCUGCGACCUAGCAGUUCGAAAACAUGCAAAUGUGAGUAGAUCAAUAGGUACCGCUCCAGCGGGAAGGUAACGGCGCUCCAUGCAGCCAUGCCAGCCACAAGACCUUGGAGGUGUCUACGGACAAUGCCGGUUCUUCGGUUUAGAAAUGGAGAUGAGCACCAACCCCCAGAGUCAGACAUGACUGGACUUAAUGUCAGGGGAAACCUUUACCUUUACUUUUAAUGCAUUAUAAGGGCUCUGUUAUGGAUUAUUCCCUCACUUUACUUACGUCAGUUUAAAGCCUUUAAGGUACAUUGCAACGUCACUUGCUCUGACGUGAGAAACAAAAUGGCCAGCCAUAGGAUGAACAGGCUACAUGCCAUCCUGAUCCAAAUGGACAUACUAGUAAGGCAAUGCUUUUUCUUGGAAACUGCAAAGCAAGAAGUGAUUUUCUAAAACACACACAUGCACACACACAUUAAAGAUUAAAAGAAGCAUUUUCACUGUUAAAACAAUCAUACAGAACCAGGGUACAGGUGAGUACAGAUUGUUUUUCCUCUGGUGUAGACAACUUCUAGGAACACAGUAAAACAAAGAGUUCUCUGCUCUUUGCUGAGGUUCUGUAAUGUCUGCAAAGGUGUGUUUUCCCUUUCAGAAACAAAGCUAAUGCACUGAACGGUUACAAAGGAACAUCAUGUGCCUCCUACCCAGCUCUAAAUAACAAGCGGCAAACACCUGUGCUGCCUGUAGGGAGAGAGUGGAUGCAUCAAGAAAUGAUGAAGAGGGAAGAUAAUGUCUUCAGCAGGAGAAGCCUAAGGAAGGAAGAGAAAAGAAGGCUGAAGCAGCUUUGUUUUCGCCUCAUAAGGCAGCAGCAGCACUGGGAGCACGUAUGCACGUGCUUUAGAGGUGAGGAGGUGACAGAGACUCUACUUGCAAACAACACAAAUAUAGCACCUCUACUUCAUGGAUUUUCACUUUUCACAGGUGGUCCUGGAACAUAACCCCCGAGAUAAGUGAGGGAACACUGUACGCUGCUUUGAAUCUCACCCACAGGAGAUAAGUG
rnacentral:lncRNA from 1 species